GAUGAAGAACGCAGCGAAAUGCGAUACGUAAUGUGAAUUGCAGAAUUCAGUGAAUCAUCGAGUCUUUGAACGCACAUUGCGCCCCCUGGUAUUCCGGGGGGCAUGCCUGUCCGAGCGUCAUUGCUGCCCUCAAGCACGGCUUGUGUGUUGGGCCUCCGUCCUCCUCCCGGGGGACGGGCCCCAAAGGCAGCGGCGGCACCGCGUCCGGUCCUCGAGCGUAUGGGGCUUCGUCACCCGCUCUUGUAGGCCCGGCCGGCGCUUGCCGACACAUCAAUCUUUUUUCCAGGUUGACCUCGGAUCAGGUAGGGAUACCCGCUGAACUUAAGCAUAUCAAUAAGCGGAGGA
rnacentral:misc_RNA from 1 species